rnacentral:rRNA from 1 species
AUUGAACGCUGGCGGCAUGCCUUACACAUGCAAGUCGAACGGUAACGGGCCUUCGGGUGCCGACGAGUGGCGAACGGGUGAGUAAUACAUCGGAACGUGCCCGAUCGUGGGGGAUAACGAGGCGAAAGCUUUGCUAAUACCGCAUACGAUCUACGGAUGAAAGCAGGGGACCGCAAGGCUUUGCGCGGACGGAGCGGCCGAUGGCAGAUUAGGUAGUUGGUGGGAUAAAAGCUUACCAAGCCGACGAUCUGUAGCUGGUCUGAGAGGAUGAUCAGCCACACUGGGACUGAGACACGGCCCAGACUCCUACGGGAGGCAGCAGUGGGGAAUUUUGGACAAUGGGCGCAAGCCUGAUCCAGCCAUGCCGCGUGCAGGAUGAAGGCCUUCGGGUUGUAAACUGCUUUUGUACGGAACGAAAAGCCUUCUUUUAAUACAGGAGGGUCAUGACGGUACCGUAAGAAUAAGCACCGGCUAACUACGUG